AUUGAACGCUGGCGGCAGGCCUAACACAUGCAAGUCGAACGAGUGGCGGAAGGGUGAUUAAUGUCUGUGAAACUGCCUGAUGGCGGGGGAUAACUACUGGAAACGGUAGCUACUACCGCCUACCAUCACCUGUACCCUGAUGGGUGUGGCUUGUUGGUGGGGUAACGGCGCACCAAGGCGACGAUCCCUAGCUGGUCUGAGAGGAUGACCAGCCACCCUGGAACUGAGACACGGUCCAGAGUCCUACGGGAGGCAGCAGUGGGGAAUAUUGCACAAUGGGCGCAAGCCUGAUGCAGCCAUGCCGCGGGUAUGAAGAAGGCCUUCGGGUUGUAAAGUACUUGCAGCGGGGAGGCGUUACCCGCAGAAUAAGCACCGGCUAACUCCGUGCCAGCAGCCGCGGUAAUUC
rnacentral:rRNA from 1 species